UCGAAGAUGUGACCCUGACUAUGGUGCAAUAUAAGUUGGCUGGACAGUUAAUAUAAAUACAUUCUAACUUCAGAACAACGCCACAAAUAAUCAUGCGACGGGGUCAUUUAUUUUACCAUUAAAUCGACAGGUUAUGGAUGGUGUGAUUCGUCUAAGUUUAGAUAUUGAUGAGGUCUGGACAUUAACGACUAUUACUACUGGACAAAAGGGGCAACACAACCCUCCACCGCCAUCAGCACCGUUCCCGUUACCUUAUGCAGAUGACUUCGAAGUAUACAACAUUUAUUCUGAAGCGUAUAAUUUGGUUGCCCAAGCUGGUUAUUAUGAGAUUACUGAUGUGGGAUCUCCCCAUAAUAAAGUUAUCCGCCAGAUGUCGCUUGAGAUGCCAGUUGCAUGGGGUAAAACAGAUUUACUGGGAGUUACACUUGCUUUGAUAGGGAAUACGAACUGGACUGAUAUAAAUAUAUCUGUUGACGCACGUCCAGCUCCAGUAAAUGGAACUCAUGGUGUUUUUGUUGCCUGUAGAUUGUACAAUCUGGGUUUACGAGAUGGCAUCAAUGCUGGAUUAUACUUCUUCAUUUUCCCAGCAAAUAAAACAUUUGUAGUUUCUGGCGAUGUCGUUAGAAAACACUUGGUUUUAAGCGGCCAGCAUGCUGGAAUAACAGCUGAAUGGAACCAACUUUCACUAUCAGUAAAGGGAAGUGAAGCUGUAGGAAGUAUUAAUAGUGUACAGGUCUUCAAGACUACAAUACCAGAUGGUACAGUUCAAGGAUUUGCUGGAUUGGGAACAACUUCUUAUAAACUGGCUGAUUUUGAUAAUUUGAAUAUUAGCAGACCUUAAAGUUUUGAUGUAACUGAUAAAAUAUUGAUCUUAAUUGCAGCAG